rnacentral:ncRNA from 1 species
GCGUAAAACGUCUGUAUGUGGCUUUUCAAGUCGCCGUCAAAUCUCAGGGCUCAACCCUGGACAUGCGGUACAAACUACCAAGCUGGAGUAGGCUUAACCUUGGACAGGCAGUGGAAACUACCAAGCUAGAGUACGGUAGGGGUAGAGGGAAUUUCCGGUGGAGCGGUGAAAUGCAUUGAGAUCGGAAAGAACACCAACGGCGAAAGCACUCUGCUGGGCGGACACUGAGAGACGAAAGCUAGGGAAGCAAAUGGGAUUAGAGACCACAGAGAGACGAAAGCUAGGGAAGCAAAUGGGAUUAGAGACCACAGUAGUCAGUCCUAGCCGUAAACGAUGGAUAAGAUUGAGACUAGAAACUAUUCCAACUAAUCUGC